rnacentral:rRNA from 1 species
GAUGAACGCUGGCGGCGUGCUUAACACAUGCAAGUCGAGCGAAGCAAUUUAAAGGAAGUUUUCGGAUGGAAUUUAGAUUGACUUAGCGGCGGACGGGUGAGUAACGCGUGGGGAACCUGCCUCGUACUGGGGGAUAACAGUUAGGAAUGACUGCUAAUACCGCAUAAGCGCACAGGAUGGCAUCAUCUGGUGUGAAAAACUCCGGUGGUAUGAGAUGGACCCGCGUCUGAUUAGCUAGUUGGUAGGGUAACGGCCUACCAAGGCGACGAUCAGUAGCCGACCUGAGAGGGUGACCGGCCACAUUGGGACUGAGACACGGCCCAAACUCCUACGGGAGGCAGCAGUGGGGAAUAUUGCACAAUGGGCGAAAGCCUGAUGCAGCGACGCCGCGUGAGUGAAGAAGUAUUUCGGUAUGUAAAGCUCUAUCAGCAGGGAAGAAAAUGACGGUACCUGACUAAGAAGCCCCGGCUAACUACGUGCCAGCCGCCGCGGUAA